UUUGACAGAUUGAGAGCUCUUUCUUGAUUCGGUGGGUGGUGGUGCAUGGCCGUUCUUAGUUGGUGGAGCGAUUUGUCUGGUUAAUUCCGAUAACGAACGAGACUCUAGCCUACUAACUAGGCGUACCCGGUAUCCACAAUUGUGCUACCGGCGGUCAAAUUUCUUCUUAGAGGGACAGGCGGCGUCUAGCCGCGAGAGACUGAGCAAUAACAGGUCUGUGAUGCCCUUAGAUGUCCUGGGCCGCACGCGCGCUACACUGAAGGAAUCAGCGUGUCAUCCUUGUC
rnacentral:rRNA from 1 species